rnacentral:misc_RNA from 1 species
UUAAGUUCAGCGGGUAUCCCUACCUGAUCCGAGGUCAAAAACUAGGAGUAUGGGGGGUGUUAGGGGCCAAAGCGCUCACGUUCCCAUUGCGAGAUAAAAUUUACUACGCUUUGGUUGCGUGGCUUUUCGCCAUUGGAUUUCGCAGAGGAGGCUUGACGCUUCCAAAGCAAGACCAACCUAUGAUGACAAUAAUCAAAGAU